CUAGAGCCAUAUUCUCUGUUUUGAAUCCUGCCAUUUGGUAGCUGUGUAAACUUAGACAAGUUGCUUAGCCUCCCUGUGCCUCAAUUUUCUCGUCUGUAAAACAAGGGUAAUAAUACCUCCUUCACAGCAGGGUGGUGGGGAUUAAAUGAGUUGUUACAUGGAAAGCACUUAGAACAAUGCCAGGCACAUGGCAAAUACAUGAUACAUGUUGACUAGUGUUCUUGAUAUCUACAGAUGAGGACAUAGGUUCAGAAAGGUUAGGUAUUUUGCCUAAAGCGACAUAGCAAGGCCAUGAUGUGUUUGAUUCCAGAGCCAAUCAAACAUUUCAUAUGUUUGAUUCCAACCUACCCUCUUGGCACCUUAAGAAACUAAGACCCAGAGAAAGUAAUUCACUUUCUCAGAGCCACACAGCCACUCAUGACAGAACUGGAUCCAGGUCCUUUGUCUCCCAACUCAGAGACCUCCCACUAUACUGUACUGUCCCACUUGUAUUUCCUGCAGCACCUAAACUACACUUUACAGUUUACAAAUCACAUUCACACCCAUGAUCUCCUAUAAUUCAUACAACAACCCCUGAGGCUGCUAUUAUACCCUUCCUUCUUUUACAGAUGGAGAAACAAAGCUCAGAAAGAUGAUGUAACCUGCACAAAGUUGCACAGUGAGGUAGGGCAGAGGCUGAAUGUGAACGGACACAUCCCAGCCCAUCCUCCUCCCCUGUGUAAUUGUGCCUCUUGUCUGCUUCCCAAUGCAAGUGUAAUCUCUGGGCACCGUGGAAGCCGAGAGCCUAGUGGAGGCAGAAGUGUUCUGGAGUGCCCACCAUGCUGCAUGCUGGAGCUGGGCUGCAGGGGUCCCGAGGCAGAUGGCAGGCUCCCACCCUGGCGCCUCCCUUUGCAAAGCUGGUCUCCUCACUCAGGCCAAGACCAGGGUGCUCACCACACCUCACAAGACUCGCCGUGACUGUGACCUGGGCCUGUAUCUGCCACCUGUCUGCCUCCUUGCCUCGCAAACGCUCCAGGACCAUCUCAUCUAAAAUGCAGCCCUCAUCCCUCUGAAGCCCCUAACCCUUCUAUAUUUUCC
rnacentral:lncRNA from 1 species